GGGCAUGAUGGUCUAUUAAUCAAAAGCAAAAUACUAAGCAGUGACUGAAGGAAGCCAAAGGUAGAAACAAAGAAAACUCCCUCGUGCUAAUUCCACAGUUCCUCUUCAAGUAUGCCUGAACUUCAGGAGGCAGCAUAAAUCAUCUGAUGUAUUGCUGUGCUUCUGUGAGGGGCUCCAUUGCCACCUGUGGCAGUUGUCCUGUGAAACAGAAGCUUUGCCUGCUGUUGUAUCACCUAUGCUGGAACUUCCUCGUGGAUCUGUUUUCUCCUUUGAUGUCUCCAACUCAGUCACCAGAUGGACGAGGGGCACUGCCAGCUGCCUGGGAAGGCUGUCACUGCUGAGGUUGGCACCCCAUGAGCUGCACAGGUAACCCAUCACAUUUAUACUUCUUGUUUCAAAUUGAAAGAAUUUGCUUUAAAUUGGAGGCUCAAGAAUGAUCCUCUUUGCUUCC
rnacentral:lncRNA from 1 species